UACAGAGGGUGCUAGCGUUGUUCGGAAUCAUUGGGCGUAAAGGGCGUGUAGGCGGUUUGUUAAGUCAUGUGUGAAAUCCCUCGGCUCAACCGGGGAACGACGCAUGAAACUGGCAAGCUAGAGUACCAAAGAGGGGGGUGGAAUUCCCGGUGUAGCGGUGAAAUGCGUAGAUAUCGAGAGGAACACCUGCGGCGAAGGCGGGUUGCUGGGCUGACACUGACGCUGAAACGCGAAAGCUAGGGGAGCGAACGGG
rnacentral:rRNA from 1 species